GCCAGCAGCCAUAUCACCCUGCAACUCACAACUGGUAACCCACUGAAGCUAAGCAGGUGUGAGCCUGGUCAGUACCUGGAUGGGAGACCUCCUGGGAAAAGGUUGCUGCUGGAA
ensembl:rRNA 5S_rRNA 5S ribosomal RNA